rnacentral:lncRNA from 1 species
AAACUGUGGACUAGCGGUGAGGACUGGCGAGUCCGCUAUAGCCCAUCCCGGGUACAGCCUGCAGAAACAGCGGUGUGGCGGUGGCUGGGCUCGACACCACCCCGCCUGGGCACGCAGCCCGACUUCCGAGUCCCCGAUCCUGGCGUAGGUUGCAUGGCAGCCGCUAGGCUACGGGCUGAUGAAGGCAACGUUGGCAGUGAAGUUAGCCUGAGAUUGACUUUUUGCUCCAUCUCGCUCUUGGAUCUUUGUGCCAUGUUAUGCUGUGGGUGACUUCCAGCAGAACGUGAGCAAUUCCAGAGCGAGUGCUUUUUUUUUGUUUUGUUUUGUUUUCCUCAGCAUUCCCCAUGUCCUCUAGAACACUGCUUCUGUGAAACAGGGUUAACGGAAUGUAGUGAAAAACUAACGGUUCAAAAGUAAGGGAGCCGCACGUGAUAACGUACGCCUUAAUCCCAGAAUUCAGUAGCCUGAGGCAGGGGGAUUUCUGUGAAUUCCAGGCCAGUCUGGUCUGCGUACAGUGUGAAUUCCAAACAAAACAGCCAGGGGGAGGCUUAGGGUAUAAGUCAGCACCACUGGGAACCAAUGUUGUGAGUUUCCGUCUCAGUUUUCAUCUGCAUCUGUAAAACAGGAAAGGACAAAAUUCUUUACCUGGUUAUUUUGUAAAAUUGUGAGUAGACUAUAAAGACGCUUACCAAACUGAGAGGCCUGGAAUUUAUCAGAAGACUAAUGAGUAAGAUCCCUGUCCCGAAAGAUUCCUGUCCCGAGAGGCAUCAAGUCAAUUCUAGUUUUUUUGUUUUUGUUUUUAUUUAUUUAUUUAUUUAUUUAUUUAUCUAUCUAUUUAUUUAUUUCUAAAUAAGACUGUACUCCAAUUCCUGUGGAACCAAACCCCGGUCCUCUGCAGGAGCAGCAAUUACUCUUAACCAAUGAGCGGGGUGUUUGUUUGUUUUUCCCCAGUCCUUUUUACACUUUCCUUGUCCGGUGCUGGCAUUAGGGUAGCGCUGACUUAUUAGUGUCAUUUAGCAACUGUUCACUUUUGGGAGCGUUUGUAUCAUUUUGAUGUCAUUUGCUGAAUGUUUGGUAGAAUCAUCACGGGAGACUUCUAAGCCCAGAGUUUUCCUGAUUGAUAGAAUUGUAAUAUAAAUUCAGCAUCUAUAAUAGAUAUUUCACUGUUCUAUGCGUAGAUACCUUUUAGAUUGAACAUCAAAACUUUUCUCAGAACAAUUGAAAUGUCCAUUUGGUCCAAAAUUUCAAGCUUAUUGGAUUAAACUGUUGAUAAAUAUUUCCUUAUGUUUUUAAUAUCUGUGUAUCCUGCAGUGACCUCAUAUGUCUUCUCUUGAUAGUGUUUUAUUGAAUCUUUGAAGCCUGAUCAGUCUAGCUAGUGUGAUCUUAAAAAUUUUUUGUCUGUUUCACUGUUUUUUGGGGGUUUUUUGAUGUUGGAUUUUAUGUUUUCAACUUGAAUUUUUCUUCUCUGCUGCUUAUUCCUAUGUGUUUUCUGCCCCCCCCCCCCCAGUUUUCUAAGGAUGUGCAUGAAUGGGGUCACUGGUGUGAGACCAUUUUACUCUUCAGUUUGUGUGUUUAUUGUCAGAAAUUCCCUUCUAAGGACCUCUUUGUUCCCACAGAUUUUGAAAUUUAAUUU